rnacentral:rRNA from 1 species
UACAGAGGAUGCAAGCGUUAUCCGGAAUGAUUGGGCGUAAAGCGUCUGUAGGUGGCUUUUUAAGUCCGCCGUCAAAUCCCAGGGCUCAACUCUGGACAGGCGGUGGAAACUACCAAGCUGGAGUACGGUAGGGGCAGAGGGAAUUUCCGGUGGAGCGGUGAAAUGCGCAGAUAUCAGGAGGAACACCUGUGGCGAAGGCGGCCCCCUGGUUGGAUACUGACGCUGAGACGCGAAAGCGUGGGGAGCAAACAGG